rnacentral:rRNA from 1 species
UGCGUAGGCGGGGCAAUAAGUCAGUGGUGAAAUCCUGCGGCUUAACCGUAGAAUUGCCAUUUAUACUGUUGCCCUUGAGUAUAGUUGAAGUGGGCGGAAUAUGUAAUGUAGCGGUGAAAUGCAUAGAUAUUACAUAGAACACCAAUUGCGAAGGCAGCUCACUAAGCUAUCACUGACGCUGAGGCACGAAAGCGUGGGGAGCGAACAGGAUUAGAUACCCUGGUAGUC